rnacentral:rRNA from 1 species
CCUACGGGAGGCAGCAGUGGGGAAUAUUGGACAAUGGGGGGAACCCUGAUCCAGCGACGCCGCGUGAGUGAAGAAGUAUUUCGGUAUGUAAAGCUCUAUCAGCAGGGAAGAAAGAAAUUACGGUACCUGACUAAGAAGCCCCGGCUAACUACGUGCCAGCAGACGCGGUAAUACGGAGGGGGCAAGCGUUAUCCGGAUUUACUGGGUGUAAAGGGAGCGUAGGCGGCGAUGCAAGUCUGAAGUGAAAGGCGGGGGCCCAACCCCCGGACUGCUUUGGAAACUGUAUGGCUGGAGUGCAGGAGAGGUGAGUGGAAUUCGUAGUGUAGCGGUGAAAUGCGUAGAUAUUAGGAGGAACACCAGUGGCGAAGGCGGCUUACUGGACUGUAACUGACGUUGAGGCUCGAAAGCGUGGGGAGCAAACAGGAUUAGAUACCCGGGUAGUC